UACGUAGGGCGCGAGCGUUGUCCGGAAUCAUUGGGCGUAAAGAGCUCGUAGGCGGCCGGUUGCGUCUGCUGUGAAAUCCCGGGGCUUAACCCCGGGCGUGCAGUGGAUACGGGCUGGCUGGAGGCAGGCAGGGGAGAAUGGAAUUCCCGGUGUAGCGGUGAAAUGCGCAGAUAUCGGGAGGAACACCGGUGGCGAAGGCGGUUCUCUGGGCCUGUGCUGACGCUGAGGAGCGAAAGCGUGGGGAGCGAACAG
rnacentral:rRNA from 1 species